UUAAAUUUGAUUUUGGUUUGUUGUAGAGUUAAGAUAAUAUUAUCUAUAUUUGAUUUAUGUAAAUGGGCAAUGUUUGUUUACCCUGGUAGUGUAUUAUUAGUAGAAAUGUAGUUCCAGAAUAAUCGGCUAUACUUUAUGAGUUUUGACUUUAAUUGUUUUGAUUUUUAUUUUGUUUUUUUAUCUUUUUGCUUGUUGGUAGAAUUAGGAGUAUUGUUGAUUAGUGAUAAAAUUCGAGUGUUUAUUAGAACGACCCGGAUUAGUACCCGGUUAGAUGAAUUUAAUUAGUGCAGAAGUAGUUGAAACUGAAAAAAUAUUGGCAGGCUCUUAAAUUAUCCUUGGAGGUUGAGUUGUAAUCGAGAACCCGCGUUUUCAUCUUUAAUUAUGAGUUUGUGUAUGAUCGUCUUUUAUAUACUUGAGGUUUUUAAGGUUAAGUUUUUUUUGUUAAGAUAGAUAAAUAUCCAAUUUAUAUUAGAGAUUUUCUUGACCUACAUUGUUUUGAUUAGUUGGAUAGUCGGAUGAGAUUUUGGCUUGAAAUUGUAAAAGACAGUAUGGAGUAUUUAAUUGUACUUUUGAAGAGUAUUUAAGAGCGGUACAAAUCAUCCAUCAAUUGCCUAAAGGGGAGUAAGUUGUAGUAAAGUAGAAUCAGGGGAACCUGAUUCUAGUAGUAGAUU
rnacentral:ncRNA from 1 species